AUGCACUUGGACGCUUCAAGGAUCUUGUGGCAUGUACUAAUGGACUAGUUUCUAUACUGGCUAUACUUAUUCUCCAUUAGCCCAAGCAUAUCAGGAAAUUUAGUAUUCAAGACUCACCAAUCUUUGCUAAACGGUCAGAUAAGGGAGUCAACCUUUUAGCUUCUCUAUGCUAGAAAAUAUGAUGCCUCAGAGGGAAAACUGCG